rnacentral:rRNA from 1 species
AACGAACGCUGGCGGCAUGCCUAACACAUGCAAGUCGAACGACACCUUCGUAUCUGGUUGCUCACACGGGCGUAACGCGGGGGAACCUGCCCUUAUGUUUCGAAUAACUCCCCUUCGUGGGUGCUAAUACCGGGUAAUGUCUGCUGACAAAAGAUUUAUCGACUUUGGGGGAGCCCGCGUUGUAUUAGCUAGUUGGUAUGGUAAAAGCCUACCACGGCGUCGAUACAUAGCUGGUAGGAGAGAAUGAUCAGCCACACUGAGACGAAGAAGCGGCCGAGACUCCUACGGGAGGGAGCAGUGGGGAAUAUUGGAAAAUGGGGGAAAGCAUGAUCCAGCAAUGACGCGUGAGUGAUGAAGGCCUUAGGGUAGUAAAGCUCUUUUACCCGGGAUGAUAAUGACAGUACCGGGAGAAUAAGCACCGGCUAACUCCGUG